rnacentral:tRNA from 1 species
GGAAGAGUACCCAAGUGGAUUAAGGAAGCUGUCUUGAAAACAGCGAGGCGUUAACACGUGCGUGGGUUCGAAUCCUACCUCUUCCGCCA